GGAUUGGGGGCAUAAUUAAACUUUAUGGUUGAGGCUGACAUGAUUCUCUCUUUGUAACAGGUCAAUGAGUUCAAGUCUAUAGAAAAGUUCAAAAUUUUCAAUACAAACAAUUUGAGGUCAAUGGAAUCAAGGUUCUUCAACUGGAAAUUGCAACUGGUGCAGCAAUUAGGGUAUAAAAUUGUACCAAUUAUGGUUAUGAUGUAUUAAAAUGUAAAAAGAUCUGUCUAACCAUAUGUUUUCCUUACGUGAUUAAGUUCUUUGAUCA